AUUGAACGCUGGCGGCAGGCCUAACACAUGCAAGUCGAGCGAGCGUCGGGCGGGUGCGUAAUGUAUGGGGACUGCCCGAUAGAGGGGGAUAACUAAUGUAAACAGUAGCUAAUACCGCAUACUAUCUAAUAACCCAUAUGGGAUUAUCUCGUAGGUGAGGUAAUGGCUCACCUAGGCGACGAUCCCUAGCUGGUCUGAGAGGAUGAUCAGCCACACUGGGACUGAGACACGGCCCAGACUCCUACGGAGGCAGCAGUGGGGAAUAUUGCACAAUGGGCGCAAGCCUGAUGCAGCCAUGCCGCGUAUAUGAAGAAGGCCCUAGGGUUGUAAAGUACUUUCAGUCGGGAGGCGUUACCGACAGAAGAAGCACCGGCUAACUCCGUGCCAGCAGCCGCGGUAAUAC
rnacentral:rRNA from 1 species